rnacentral:rRNA from 1 species
UACGUAGGGGGCAAGCGUUGUCCGGAAUUAUUGGGCGUAAAGAGCUCGUAGGCGGCUUGUUGCGUCAGCUGUGAAAACCCGCAGCUCAACUGUGGGCUUGCAGCUGAUACGGGCAGGCUUGAGUUCGGUAGGGGAGACUGGAAUUCCUGGUGUAGCGGUGAAAUGCGCAGAUAUCAGGAGGAACACCGGUGGCGAAGGCGGGUCUCUGGGCCGAAACUGACGCUGAGGAGCGAAAGCGUGGGGAGCGAACAGG